UGGUUCUGGCAUCGAUGAAGAACGCAGCAAAAUGCGAUAAGUAAUGUGAAUUGCAGAAUUCCGUGAAUCAUUGAAUCUUUGAACGCACAUUGCGCCUUCUGGUAAUCCGGGAGGCAUGCCUGUCUGAGCGUCAUUUCAUUAUUCAAGCCUGUCUUUUUUGGCUUGGUUCUGGAGGCUGAUGUUAGCAUCUCCUCUGUAAUGCAUUGACAGUCAGUCGGACUCUUAGUUGUAGCAUCUGUUCGACUUCAAGAGCUAGUCUGACCCAUUCUUUGAAGUAGCCUCGGUUACAAUUUUAUAUCAAAGUUUGACCUCAGAUCAGGUAGGAAUACCCGCUGA
rnacentral:misc_RNA from 1 species